UUUUUCUUUUUUCAUUUUUUUUAGGGCCGCACCCACAGCAUAUGGAAGUUCACGAGAUAGGGGUCGAAUUGGAGCUACGGCUGCCAGCCUACACCACAGCCACAGCAACGCAGGAUCCCAGCUGCAUCUGUGACCUACACCGCGGGUCACAGCAAUGCCGUAUCCUUAACCCACUGAGUAGGGCCACGGAUCAAACCCACAUUCUCAUGGAUAUUAGUUGGGUUCUUUACUGCUGAGCCACAACAGGAACUCCCUUUGUGGACACUUUUAAGUGGACAUUCUCUGGCUAUCUUAAAAAAAAACAAGAGAUAACAAAUGUUGAGAAUACGAACAAAAAGGAACCCCUAUGCAUUGUUAGCAGCCACUGUAUGGAAAACAGAACAGAGACACCUCAAAAAAUUAAAAAUAGAUCUACCAUAUGAUCCAGCAACUCCUCUUCUGGGUAUGUAUGCAAAGGAUACAUAUAUGUAUACAACAGGCUAGCAAAGAGAUAACCCGAACUCCCCAUGGUCACUGCGCACUAAUCACAAUGUCCAAUAUAGGAAGACAACUUAAGUAAGUAUCCAUCAACAGAUUAAUGGAUAAAGAAGGAAGAUGUGAGGUCACUCACACACAAACAUAAUGGAGUAUUAUUCAGUCAUGAAAAAGAAGGAAACCCUGCUUUUUACAACAGCGUGGCUAGACCAUGAGGCUAUGCUAAGUGAGAAGCCAAACAGAAAAAGGCAAAUACUGUAUGCCAGCACUCCUAUGUGGAAUCUAAAAAGGCCAAACUUGUAAAAACACUGAGUUGAACGGUGGUUACCAGCGGCUGGGGGUGGAGAAAUUGGGGAGAUGCUGUGUAAGGGUGCACACUUGUAACCAGUGGAAAAGUCAGUCCUACAGAUCUAAUGCAUAGUGAUUAUCGUCAAUGAUACUGUACUAUAAACUUCAAAAUUAAGGGACCAGAUCUUAAUUGUUCCCACCACAAAAAAGAAAUGAUAAUUAUGUGAUUGGAUAAAGGUCUUAGCUAAUGCUAUCGUGGUUAUCACACUGGAAUAUAUAAACAUUCAAACCAACACACUGUACACAUUAAACUUAGACAAUAUUAUCUCAAUAAUAAAAAGGUAAAGGUAAAUGGGUCUUCUCCAAGCAAUGUAUUAUCUCAAAGUAAUCUCUGAAUUAAGUUUUUACCUGAGGUCUCCAGCUAGCAGCCACACUCUCUAGCUGCAGUCAAGUCUUAAGUGACCACAGUCCUGACUGGCGCCUGUCAUGCGAGACCACGGGCCAGAACCAACUAGCUAAGCCGCUCCUGAAUUCCUGACGCAUAGCAAUUGUGAGAUGAUAAAUGUUUGUUGUUUUAAACCAAAAAAAAAAAUUUAUUAUUAUUAUUAUUAUUUUUUUUUUGGUCUCAUUAGGGCCACACCUGCAGCAUAUGGAAGUUCCCAGGCUAGGGGGUCUAAUCAGAGCGGUAGCUGCCAACCUACACCACAGCUACAGCAACACAGGAUCUGAGCCACGUCUGCAACCUACACCACUGCUCAUGGCAAUGCCGGAUCCUUAACCCAGUGAGCAAGGCCAGGGACUGAACCUGCAGCAUCAUGGAUACUAGUCAGGUUCAUUACCACUGAGCCAUGAUGGGAACUCUCCCCCCACCCCACCCCCAAUUUUUUUAAGAAAAUGCACUUAUACUGUGUACUAAUAGAAGAGACAGACUUAGGUGAGAGUUCAGGACCUUGGAGUUUCCUAGGAAUCAAAAGUGUGUGACCACAAGAGACCUGAGCCUCUGCCUUCCCCACUGGCAGCCCUUCACUCACAUGAGGCAAAUAGAAUGUCUGGACAAAAUUUCUUUCCUCCAAAUUACUCCCAACUCUGCCUAGAAUUUUUCACUCUAUCAUCAUGCUGAAACACCCACCAAGUAAAGGUCCAAGUGCACGGAUAAGAAUUUUUCAGUAAAAUAGAGAUAUACCUGGAUGGAUGAUUCACACCUUAAAAAUAUAUAUAUAUUUAUGGGGGAUCAUGUAUCAUUAUUCCCAAGUGUUUACAGCCAAUAGCUUUCAAAGCUAUUAGAGAGAUGCUAGCGAGCAGUGCAAAAAAAUUGAGCAGGUAACAGUGACUAGACAUUCAGAAAUGGAAAAUUAAUGCAAAGGCCAUUUGGGCACAGAUUCUUGAGAGAUGGCAUACCUAACUUUGGUUUCCUGUGCGGUGCACAAAUUCUCAAAUUGUUUGGGGAAAAAAUGGGGACAAUCAUUUCCAAUAAGAAAAAAAAAAAAGUAAAUAAAGACUAAAAGCAGCUUAAUUAAACCUAAUUAUCUCAUGUAGACAGAAAUAUUCAAAACAUGAGCCAAGACUUUAUUGUUACUUUUUUUUUUUUUCCCACUGUACAGCAAGGGGGUCAGGUUAUCCUUACAUGUAUACAUUACAAUUACAGUUUUUCCCCCACCCUUUGUUCUGUUGCAACAUGAGUAUCUAGACAUAGUUCUCAAUGCUAUUUUGUUACCUAUUUUAAUGAGAAAACGUUCAUGUGCCUAGAGUUAUAAAUACAAAUGUUAUGACAUCAGCAAUAGGGAACUAGCUAAUGAGAGAAGUGCUUUGAUUCAUUAUGUAAAAAUACCCCACAUAUCAAGGGAUUUCACAUUUCAAAACAUUAAGUUUUUUAAGUUUUUGGAUGAGAAGAAAAUAGAGAAUAAAUAACUUAUUUCUGCAACCACAUCUUUCUCGACCUUAUAAUGGGAAGCUAGCUAUUUAGCUUUGCAAGAGAAACUGGCCAAGUCCAUCAGGUCAAUAUACUGUCCCAUAACAUGCAAACUGAUAACUGCUGGCAGAAACCUUUCGGAAUAAGAGACUCAAAGCUUCUGAAUAAGGAAGCAAUGGUAAUUUACCAGAAAAACACACACAUGCAUAUACACCAUGAGCUAUACAUUAGUAAAUGAAAGCAUAGAUUUGGAAAUUAUGUUUAUAAAUUUGAAAGUAAAUAAAAAGGCAACUUAGCAAUUUAGGAAAUGGUUAUAAAAAUGAAGCCAUGCAUGCAAAACUUAUUAAUGUUCUUUUAAUAGUUUUCUGAGGUAAUAAGAACUAUGAUGGGGUAAUCAGUUGGAGUUACCUGGUUUUUAAUCUACUUUCUUCUCCUGGGCACCCUGUACCAUAUGUUCCUAAAAUUUUUCCAUUAGUGGCUCAUUGACAAAUGGGACAGAAACAGUAUUCUAAGGCUGGAGUUUCAAGAAAAAGACAUCCAAUGGCAACAUUUAGAUGGUAUGUGGUUUACCACAGAUUACAUAAUGACAAAAAGUGGCCAUCAGGAAUAAAAUUGCAGCUCCUGUAAGCAAUUGCAUUAGUGAGGCAGGUGCUACAUAAAUGAUAACAAGUAAUGGCAACAGUAAUAACAAAAAAUGCCUUAUGUUUAUCUAGUGCCUUCCUUCUAAAGCAUUCAACACUACCAACAGGAAUGAGCCAACUGCUCCUCUAAGGUUUUAGAGGUUGCGGGCAGUGAUAUUUCUUUUUUCAGUAUCUGAAUUAUAGAAAGGCUUAUCAAAGAAUCAUAAAGCAAGAAGGGAUUCUGGGAGAUUAUCUACAGCAAGCCCACUACUUCUAAAGCAGAUGUGCCCCUCCGCAUGCCUCCUAAGAAUUUUCUGGGGAAGAGUAAAAAUUCCCCAAUCCAGGGACUCAUACCCUUCAUAGACAGUGUGAAGAACUUCUUCCAGAAGGACAACUGCAAAUUCAGAUUAUAUCCAUGGUGGGAUCGAGGGAACGCUUUCACGCUUAUUAAUCUAUAUCACAAUUUCCUUUCCUACAAUGAAAACUGCUAUGUCACCUAAAAGAGGGGGAAACUCCGAAUUCUUAAAUCAUCACCAUCUAUACAGAUAUUACAGUGAGCUUUCAGAGAGAACCUAUGUCUGAGACAAUGGCUUUUCCUCUUCUUGAUUAACAGGUACUAUGACUGCCUGUCUUCAGUUAAAUCAGUGAAGAAUAGAAGGCAACUGAGAUCCAAAACUCUGUGACAGGGGAGUUAAGUUCAUUUGAAAGUUCAGACAUUGGCAGCUAUGCAAAAUGGAAAGAUACAGCCCAGGGGAUAAGGUUAAGGACAAAAUGAGAUACAGGAGAGAUGGUUAUUUGCAUCAGAUACCAGCUGGCAACAAUAAAAGAAAAAAACUCUUACCUAAUCAAAGCAUCACAGUGCUUAAAGUAGGUCAGAGUACAGAAUGGUUUGAUUCCCAUUUCCAUGCAGGGUAGGACACUCUGCCACUGCCUCCUGUCCUACUCUUUGUAAUUAUAAGAUGAUGAGCUGCUUGUGGGCAUAAAUAUAAAAUUGUCCUUUUCUAGAGUAAUGGAGGAAAGCCACAUCUUAAGUAUGUCAUGGGUACAAGACACACAGGUAAACGAUAAAGACAAUUAAGUACACAUUUCCAGAACCGAGAAUGCCGGAGCAGAAUCAGUUUAUAUUAAAAACAUUCUGGAUGAAGAAUACGAAAAGAAAAGAAAAACAUACACAUGUAGCCAUUUCACCGAGGCAAGUGAGCGACCCUUUCCUCAUACAUAUAUCAUGUAUCCCAAAAGAAAAUUCAAGCUCCUUGAGAGCAUGGAUACAAUUUUUUAAUAUAUAUUAUCAAUUCAACCAUAGGGGGCAAAAAAAGAAAAAAGGACUAAGAGCAAAAGAUUUUAAGGAGAGGAAAGGAGGUCUUUGUUAAGCUAUGGAUGCAGAGAAAACUGUUUAACAGCAAAUAAAGGAACACAACUGUACACCAGCUAACAUUUUGGUUCUCCCAUGAAGGAUGAUCCAUCAUUUAGG
rnacentral:lncRNA from 1 species